GGUACAACGAGCAGACCUGCAGAAUGUGAGCGUAACGGUCUAGAUGGAAAGUACGGUAUAACUAGCUCGUCGAGAUAUGAUGGCGCCUGGCCAUUAAGCGCUUUAUAUGUCACAAGGAGGAUUUUAAACUCAAUUCUAUAUUUAAUAGGGAGCCAGUGAAGAGAGGCUAUAACAGGGGAGAUGUGCUCCCUUCUACUAGUUCUAGUCAAUACCCGAGCUGCUGCAUUUUGGACCAGCUGAAGAGUCCUUAAUGACUUACUAGAGCAGCCUGAUAGGAGAGAAUUACAGUAAUCCAGCCUAGAGGUAACAAAGGCAUGGACUAGUUUUUCUGCAUCGCUCUGAGACAAUAUGUGUCUAAUUUUUGAGAUAUUGCGCAGGUGGAAAAAGGCUGUCCUAGAAAUUUGUUGAAUGUGGGAGCUAAAAGAUAAAUCCUGAUCAAAUACAACUCCUAGAUUACGCACAGUGGGGUUGGAUGCCAGGCUGAUACCAUCAAAUGUAGCUAAAUUACUAGAGAACGCCUCUCUAAGGUGUUUAGGACCGAGGACCAGAACUUCAGUUUUGUCUGAGUUGAGCAUUAGAAAGUUAUUGGUCAUCCAGGAUUUUAUAUCUUUGAGGCAGGCUUCUAACCUAGCAACCUGGCCUGCUUCCUCUGGCUUUAUGGAUAGGUAUAGCUGGGUGUCAUCUGCAUAACAGUGGAAAUUAAUCGAAUACUUCCUCAUAAUUUUACCCAGCGGAAUCAUAUACAGGGUGAAGAGGAUUGGACCGAGCACUGACCCUUGCGGCACACCGUAGCACACUUUGGUGUGUGCAGAGGAAUUAUUAUUUACAUUGACAAACUGGGAUCGAUCUGUUAGGUACAAUUUAAACCAGGAGAGAGCUGAUCCUGCUAUGCCUAUAGAUUGUUCUAGUCUCUGAAGCAGGAUGGAGUGGUCAAUUGUGUCAAAUGCUGCACUAAGAUCUAACAGGACUAGAACAGAGAGAAAACCAUUGUCUGAGGCCAUGAGUAGGUCAUUUGACACCUUUAGCAGAGCAGUCUCUGUGCUGUGAUGGGUUCUAAACCCAGACUGGAAAUCCUCUAAUAAACCAUUGUUAUGGAGAAAAUCACAGAGUUGAUUCGCAACAACUUUCUCUAGGAUUUUAGAAAUAAAAGGAAGGUUGGAUAUUGGUCUAUAGUUAGCUAGGGAGCUUGAGUCUAGAGUAGGUUUUUUAAGGAGAAGCUUAAUCAAUGCAGUCUUGAAAGACUGGGGAACAUAUCCUGUUAAUAAAGACGUGUUAAUCAUUUUGAGCAGGGACGUACUAAUCAAAGGAAGAGUUUCCUUCAGCAAUUUAGAUGGAAUUGGGUCUAAGAGACACGUCGAUGGUUUGGCUGCUAGCACCACUGAUUUUAACUCAGGAAGGUCAAUAGGUACAAAAUUACUAAGGUGCACCAGAGGCCUUAGGGGCUCCUCAACAUUUUUAGGGUUAUCUGAGAGAGAGACACUUGGUGGAGUCAAUAGGUUACUAAUUUUACCUCUUAUUUUUAAGAUUUUAUCAUUGAAGAAGCUCAGGAAGUCAUUGCUGCUAAGGGCUAAUGGGAUACAUGGUUCAGUGGUGCUCGGACAGUCUGUCAGCCUGGCUACAGUGCUGAAGAGAUAUCUGGGGUUAUUCUUAUUUUCCUCAAUAAGAGACGAGUAGUAGGUUGUCCGAGCACGUCGUAGGGCUUUCUUAUAUUUAUCGAGACAUUCCUGCCAGAGAAAACGAGCUUCAGCUGUUUUGGAGGAGCGCCAAAUCCUUUCACAUUUUCUUAAUAACUGUUUCAGCUCACGGGUUUCAGCAUUAUACCACGGGGCUAGCCUCUCGCGUGUAAUAGUUUUCUGUCGAAGAGGGGCAACUGAGUCUAGAACUGAUCGCAGUGUGCAUGAGGUAUCAUCAACAAACUGGUCGAGUUGCAAGGGACUGAUGUUUAAAUAUGAGCUAUCAGUAAAGUUUUUCUCAACUACAGAAUUUAGAGCAGACGGAAUUACCUCCUUGAACUUAGUAACAGCAUUUUCAGACAACCUUCUAGUUAGCACGACUUUGUUGUGAGGAGAGUAACCUGAGAGCACAAAUUCAAAAGUUACUAGACAGUGAUCAGAUAAUAGAGGAUUUAAUGAGCUGACUAACAGGGCAUCAGUUUCGAGGCCAUAAGCCAGGACGAGAUCGAGAGUGUGGUUAAAGCAGUGCGUAGGUCUAUGUACACACUGUGUAAACCCAAUUGAAUCUAGCAAGGACCGAAAAGAAAUGCUUAGGCUAUCAUUUUCCACAUCUAUGUGAAUAUUAAAGUCACCGACGACGAUGACUUUAUCUGCGAGAAGGACUAAUUCGGAUAGGAACUCUGAGAACUCUGACAAAAACUCAGAGUAUGGGCUCGGAGGGCGGUAAACUAUAGCAAAUACCAGUGGUCUCAUGGACUUUGAGGCUGGGUGCGGGAGACUGAGAACGAGACUUUCAAAAGAGUUAUAAUCUAGUUUUGGUCUUGGGUUAAUUCUAAGACUGGAAUUGUAGAUAGCUGCAACUCCACCACCUCGGCCGGAGUCUCGAGGAAUGUGAAAGUUUAGGUGGCUAGGAGGAGUGGAUUCAUUUAAACUUACAUAUUCAUCCUUACGCAGCCAUGUUUCGGUUAGGGACAGUAAAUCAAUGCGAUGAUCAGAGAUUAGUUCAUUUAUUAACACAGAUUUUGAAUUUAGAGACCUUAUAUUCAGUAGGCCACAUUUUAUCUUACUAGUACUUGGUUCAGCUAUGUUAACAGUCUUAAUUCUAGUAAGGUUCUUGUUAUUUACUCCUUUUUUAAUUGAUCGGUUAGAAUUUGAGAGCCGAGUACGAGGGACAGACACAGUCUCUAUAUUAAAGUGACAGUAGCUAGGAGGCUGCUCUAACAAAAGUACAGAGGAACGUGUAGAGCUGUGGCUAUGCUCCCUGAUUUCUAUGUCAAGCUGAGAGUAGCUUGGAAGCUGCUCUGAAGGGAGUACAGAGGGACGUUUUACACUGUGGCUCUGCUCCCUGAUUUCUAUGUCAAGCUGAGAGAAGCUUGGAAGCUGCUCUGAAGGGAGUACAGAGGGACGUUUUACACUGUUGCUCUGCUCCCUGAUUUCUAUGUCAAGCUGAGAGUAGCUUAGAAGCUGCUCUGAAGGGAGUACAGAGGGGCGUUUUACACUGCGGCUCUGCUCCCUGAUUUCUAAGUCAAGCUGAUUGUAGCUUGGAAGCUGCUCUGAAGGGAGUACAGAAGGGCGUUUUACACUGCGGCUCUGCUCCCUUGUCUCUGUGUAUAAGUGGUAGUGGCUGGGAGGCUGCUCUAAAAGAGGCGCAGGGGGGCGUGUAAGACUGCGGCCCUGCUCCCUGAUCUCUGCUUUGAAUUGUCAGUGGUUCGGAUUAAUAAAAUCGGCCAGAUUUCUGGAUAAACGGGCCGCUCCAUCUCGGGUGGGAUGAAUGCCGUCCCGACUAAUCAGACCAGGCUUGCCCCAAAAUGACUUCCAAUUAUCAAUGAAGCUCACGCCGUUUUGCGGACACCACCUCGACAGCCAGCGGUUGAAUGAUGAGAUACGGCUACACAUCUCAUCAGUUGUCUGAUCGGGCAGGGGACCAGAGAAAACUACGGAGUCCGACAUGGUCUUGGCAUAUUCACACACCGAUUCCACGUUCAAUUUAGUGACUUCCGACUGGCGGCGUCGGGAGUCAUUUAUGCCGACAUGUAUUACAAUCUUACGGAAUUUACGUUUAGCCUUUGCCAGCAGUUUUAAACUACCUUCGAUGUCGCCCGCUCUGGCCCCCGGGAGACACUGAACUAUGGCCGCUGACUUCGCUAAUUUCACAUUUCGGACUACAGAGUCUCCAAUCACAAGAGCGUCAGGCUCAGCAGGUGUGUUGCUGAGAGGGACAAAUUUGUUUGAAGUGUGAAUGUGGUGGUCUACCGUGGGCUUCUUAGGUCUACUGCUAUGCUUCCCUUUCACAGUGACCCAACCACUACUACAUCCCGGCUGCUCGGGAUUCGCCGGGGGGGAGGCUAAGCUAGGCCGACCCGCACCGGCUACCGAGUCCUGGCUGGCUAUCGCUACACUAGCAUCGGUGCGGAGCCGCUUUUCUAACUCUGUAAUCCUCGUCUCCAGAGCUAAGAAUAAACUACACUUAAAGCAGGUAUCGUUAUCGUCUAAGGAGGACGAGGAGUAACUGAACAUCUGACACACUGAGCAGAAGCGAGCAGGAGAAGCAGGCGACCGGGGGGAAGCCAUCGUUAGCAAGUGUAGCUAAGAGAAGCUAAGCUAGGAGCUAAUAAAGUAAAUGGUCAGAGAGAUCGCCCGGAGUGGAGAUAAAAACGGUGCUUGGUGAAAACUAUCAGAAAUACUUACAGACUUUCUAAACAGACAGAUGUACUGAUAAAUUACAGAUAGAAAAUAAACCAAAACAGCAAGAGAGCGCUUUCAGGAGGAAACGAAACGCUACACACAGUUCAACAGCAAGGAAGGGAAUGAAGCAAUGCGCACGCUCACCAGUCAGGAGGAGGAGUCAG